AACGAAUGCUGGCGGCAGGCCUUACACAUGCAAGUCGAACGUGAAAGUCCUUCGGGAUGAGUAAAGUGGCGCACGGGUGAGUAACGCGUGGGAACAUGCCCUUCAGUACGGGAUAACAGCGGGAAACUGCUGCUAAUACCGUAUAUUCCCUACGGGGGAAAGAUUUAUCGUUGAAGGAUUGGCCCGCGUUAGAUUAGCUAGUUGGUGAGGUAAUGGCUCACCAAGGCGACGAUCUAUAGCCGGUCUGAGAGGACGAUCGGCCACACUGGAACUGAGACCCGGUCCAGACUCCUACGUGAGGCAGCAGUGGGGAAUAUUGGACAAUGGCCGAAAGCCUGAUCCAGCCAUGCCGCGUGAGUGAUGAAGGCCUUAGGGUUGUAAAGCUCUUUUGGCGGGGAAGAUAAUGACGGUACCCGCAGAAUAAGCCCCGGCUAACUUCAUGCCAGCCGCCGCCGUAA
rnacentral:rRNA from 1 species